AAAGACCUUAUGCUUUUGGAGCGGCCGAUGUCUGAUUAGCUAGUUGGUAAGGUAAAGGCUUACCAAGGCGACGAUCAGUAGUUGGUCUGAGAGGACGACCAGCCACACUGGGACUGAGACACGGCCCAGACUCCUACGGGAGGCAGCAGUGGGGAAUUUUGGACAAUGGGCGCAAGCCUGAUCCAGCAAUGCCGCGUGAGUGAAGAAGGCCUUCGGGUUGUAAAGCUCUUUCAGUCGAGAAGAAAAGAUUGUGACUAAUAACCAUAAUUUAUGACGGUAUCGACAGAAGAAGCNCCGGCUAACUACGUGCCAGCAGCCGCGGUAAUACGUAGGGUGCGAGCGUUAAUCGGAAUUACUGGGCGUAAAGGGUGCGCAGGCGGUUCUGCAAGUCAGAUGUGAAAUCCCCGGGCUUAACCUGGGAACU
rnacentral:rRNA from 1 species